CCUACGGGAGGCAGCAGUAGGGAAUCUUCCACAAUGGACGAAAGUCUGAUGGAGCAACGCCGCGUGCGUGAAGAAGGGUUUCGGCUCGUAAAGCUCUGUUGGUAGGGAAGAAAGAUAGAGGUAGUAACUGGCCUUUAUUUGACGGUAAUUGCUUAGAAAGUCACGGCUAACUACGUGGCAGCAGCCGCGGUAAUACGUAGGGGGCAAGCGUUGUCCGGAUUUAUUGGGCGUAAAGCGAGUGCAGGCGGUUCAAUAAGUCUGAUGUGAAAGCCUUCGGCUCAACCGUAGAAUUGCAUCAGAAACUGGUGGACUUGAGUGCAGAAAGGGAUGGUGGAACUCCAUGUGUAGCGGUGGAAUGCGUAGAUAUAUGGAAGAACUCCGGUGGCGAAGGCGAGUCUCUGGUCUGCAACUGACGCUGAGGCUCGAAAGCAUGGGUAGCAAACAGGAUUAGAUACCCCUGUAGUC
rnacentral:rRNA from 1 species